rnacentral:rRNA from 1 species
CGAGUGGCGAACGGGUGAGUAACACGUGAGUAACCUGCCCUCAUCUCUGGGAUAACAGUCGGAAACGGUUGCUAAUACUGGAUAUGAGCUUGCAAGGCAUCUUGUGGGUUGGAAAGAUAUUUUUUGGUUGGGGAUGGACUCGCGGCCUAUCAGCUUGUUGGUGAGGUAGUGGCUCACCAAGGCUUCGACGGGUAGCCGGCCUGAGAGGGCGACCGGCCACAUUGGGACUGAGAUACGGCCCAAACUCCUACGGGAGGCAGCAGUGGGGAAUAUUGCACAAUGGACGGAAGUCUGAUGCAGCAACGCCGCGUGCGGGAUGACGGCCUUCGGGUUGUAAACCGCUUUCAAUUGUGACGAAGCUUUUUGUGACGGUAGCAGUAGAAGAAGCACCGGCUAACUACGUGCCAGCAGCCGCGGUGAUACGUAGGGUGCGAGCGUUGUCCGGAUUUAUUGGGCGUAAAGAGCUUGUAGGUGGUUUGUCGCGUCGGGAGUGAAAACUCAGGGCUUAACUCUGAGCUUGCUUUCGAUACGGGCUGACUUGAGGGAGGUAGGGGAGAAUGGAAUUCCUGGUGGAGCGGUGGAAUGCGCAGAUAUCANGAGGAACACCGGUGGCGAAAGCGGUUCUCUGGACCUUUUCUGACGCUGAGAAGCGAAAGCGUGGGGAGCGAACAGGCUUAGAUACCCUGGUAGUCCACGCUGUAAACGGUGGGUACUAGGUGUGGGGGAACAUUCCACGUUCUCCGUGCCGUAGCUAACGCAUUAAGUACCCCGCCUGGGGAGU